GGAUUUCAACAACUAUGAUACACAAAGUAGAUUCUGACCAUAUUAUUUUCUCCACAGUCUACAAUCCAGCACCUAUUGAGAAGAGGCAGGGGACAGAACCUUCCAGACGCUUCCUGAUGGACACGAACACUCGGAUGCUCAAACAUGAAGUUAACGAAAUGAACAGAAGAGUUUCCGGCUUCUACAAUCCUCCAGCUUAUGAGGUGAGGAAGGGGACCCAGAAUUCUCACCCCACUCUUGUGGAUCCCAGAACUGGACAACUGCUGCCGUCUUUAACCGAGCUGCAGAGGAACGCAGCUCCAUUGGAUGAGUUCAGACAAGGCACUGAACCUUCCAGAAACCUCCUGAUGGACCUGAAUGCAGGUCUACUUAAGGAACACCAAAAUAUGAUGGACAGGAGACCAGGCUGUAAGUCUGAAGUUCAAAUAUCUGAGAACAAAACAUUUAUGUAAUUGAAUCAGCC
rnacentral:lncRNA from 1 species